rnacentral:rRNA from 1 species
CCUACGGGAGGCAGCAGUGAGGAAUAUUGGUCAAUGGUCGGGAGACUGAACCAGCCAAGCCGCGUGAGGGAGGAAGGUACAGAGUAUCGUAAACCUCUUUUGUCAGGGAACAAAGACUGGGACGCGUCCCCGGAUGAGUGUACCUGAAGAAAAAGCAUCGGCUAACUCCGUGCCCGCAGCCGCGGUAAUACGGAGGAUGCGAGCGUUAUCCGAAUUUAUUGGGUUAAAAGGGUGCGCAGGCGGUCUGUUAAGUCAGCGGUAAAAGCCCGGGGCUCAACCCCGCCCCGCCGUUGAAACUGGCAGUCGCGAGUUGGAGAGAAGUAUGCGGAAUGCGCGGUGUAGCGGUGAAAUGCAUAGAUAUCGCGCAGAACUCCGAUUGCGAAGGCAGCAUGCCGGCUCCACACUGACGCUGAGGCACGAAAGCGUGGGUAUCGAACAGGAUUAGAUACCCCAGUAGUC